AAAUGACUUGGCAACAGAUAUCUCGGCUUUCGCAUCGAUGAAGAUCAUAACAAAAUGUGAUACUUAGUGUGAAUUGCAGAAUCCUGUGAACCAUCGUGUCUUUGAACACAAGUUACGCUUGAAGCCAUUAGGCCGAGGGCACGUCUACCUAGGCAUCGCACAACGUUGGCCCCCUAACCCUCGUGGUCGAGCGAGCGGAAGAUGGCCUCCCGUGAGCUACUCGCCUCACGGUUAGCCCAAAAAUGAGUCCUUGGCUGCAAUCGUCGAGACAUUCGGUGGUUCUAGAAAAUUCAGUGCCCCAUCGCGCGUGCUUCAAUAGUUUAGGAGCUUCUCAGUAUGACCCCAAUACACUGCUAAAUGCAAUGGUCAAGCAGGGCUACCCGCUGAGUUUAAGUAUAUCAAUAAGCGAAGGAAAAGAAACUUACAAGGAUUCCCCCAGUAAUGGCAAGCAAAACGGGAACAACCCAAGUUGAGAAUCGGGCGCCCUCAGCAUUCGAAUUGUAGUUUGAAGAAGUAUCCUCAGCAGAAAAGUGGGCCUGAGUACCCUGGAAAGGGGCACCAGAGAGGGUGAGAGCCACGUCGUGCCCGAACCUUGUCGCAUCAUAAGGCGCUAUCAGCGAGUCAGAUUGUUUGGGAGUGUAGCUCCAAUCAGGCGGUAAAUUCCGUCCAGGGCUAAAUACUAGCAAGAGAAUGAUAACAAACAAGUACCGCGAGAGAAAAAUCAAAAGGACUUUGAAAAGAGAGUCAGAGAGUAUGAUGCACCCCCAGUCAGAUGUGAAACGGUGAAAGCCAGUUCGCUGAUCGACUCAGGGUGCAGACUGAUGCGGAUUGAGGGGGCGGCCCAAGCCUGGGCUGUUGAUAUGCCCGUGGAGACGUCUUCCCCUUGAUCGUGGAACCCAGCAUGCGCCGUCUCAGCGUGCUUCUGCACCUACGUGCUCUGAGCAUCGGCCUGUGGGCUCCCCAUUCAGCUCAUCUUGAAACACGGACCAAGGAGUUUGACAUGUGUGCGAGUCAAUGGGCUAGUAAACCCGUAAGGCGCAAGGAAGCUGACUGGCGAGAUCCCCUUGUGGGUUGCACUGCCGACUGACCUUGAUCUUCUGAGAAGAGUUCGAGUGAGAGCAUACCUAUUGAGACUCGAAAGAUGGUAAACUAUGCCUGAGCGGGGCGAAGCCAGAGGAAACUCUUAUGGAGGCCCGCUGUGAUACUAACGUGCAAAUCAUUUGUCUGACUUGGGUAUAGGGGCAAAAGAUAAAUCGAACUGUCUAGUAGCUGGUUCCCUCCAAAGUUUCCCUUAGGAUAGCUGGAGCCCAUAGACGAGUUCUAUCAGGUAAAGCCAAGGAUUAGAAGCAUCGGGGGGUGCAACGCUCUCGACCUAUUCUCAAACCUAAAAUAGGUAGGACGGCGCGGUUGCUUUGUUGAGCCGCGCCACGGAAUCGAGAGUUCCAAGUGGGCCAUUUUUGGUAAGCAGAACUGGCGUUGCGGGAUGAACCAGAAGCCAGGUUACGGUGCCCAACUGUGCGCUAACCUAGAACCUACUAAGGGUGUUGGUUGAUUAAGAUAGUAAGACAGCGGUCAUGGAAGUCAAAAUCUGCUAAGGAGUGUGUAACAGCUCACCUGGCGAAUCAACUAGCCCCGAAAAUAGAUGGCACUUAAGCGCGCGAUCUACACCCAGCCGUUAAGGCAAGUGCCAGGCCCCAAUGAGUAGGAGGGCGCGGGGGUCGCUAUAAAACCUGGGGCAUGAGUCUGGGCAGAGCGGCCGUCGGUGCAGAUCUUGGUGGUAUAUUCAAAUGAGAACUUUGAAGGCUGAAGAGGGGAAAGGUUACAUGUGAAUGGCACCUGCACAUGGGUUAGUCAAUCCAAACAGACGGGGAAAGCCCAUCUAAUAGCGCUGGGAGUGCGAGCUUCGAAAGGGAAUCGGGCUAAAAUUCCUGAACCGGGACAUGAUGGCUGACGACAACGUUAGGAAGUCCAGAAACGUCAGCGGGGGCCUCGGGAAGAGUUAUCUUUUCUGUUUAACAGCUUGCCCACCCUGGAAAUAGCAUAGCCAGAAGUAAGGUCCAGUGCACCCCCGGUGGCCCUUGAAAAUCUGGAGGACCGAGUACCACCCAUGCCCGAUCAUACUCAUAACCGUCUUAGGUCUCCAAGGUGAACAACCUCUAGUCGAUGGAACAAUGUAGGCAAGGAAAGUCGACAAAAUGGAUCCAUAACUUCGGGAAAAGGAUUAGCUCUGAGGGCUAGGCACAGGGUUCCAAUCCCAAAUCCGUCGGCUAUCAGCGGACUGCUCGAGCUACUCCCACGGUGAGAGCGGGUCACCGCGUGCCGGCCAGAGGACGGACUGGGAACAGCUCCUCUGGGCGUCUUCCCCGGGCAUCGAACAGUCGACUCAGAAUUGGUACGGAGAAGGGAAAUCUAAUUGUUUAAUUAAAACAAAGCAAUCUGAUGGUCCCUAUGGAUACUCAUGCAAUGUGAUUUCUGCCCAGAGCUCUAAAUAUCAAAGUGAAGAAAUUCAACCAAGCGCGGGUAAAUGACAAAAGUAACUAUGACUCUCUUAAGGUAGCCAAAUGCCUCGUCAUCUAAUUAGUGAUGUGCAUGAAUGGAUUAACGAGAUUCCCACUGUCCCUAUCAACUAUCCAGCGAAACCACAACCAAGGGAAUGGGCUUGGCAGAAUCAGUGGGGAAAGUAGACCCUAUUGAGCUUGACCCUAGUUUGACUUUGUUAAAUGACUUGAGAGGUGUAGUAUAAGUGGGAGCCGGAAACGGCGAAAGUGAAAUACCACUACUUUUAGCGUUAUUUUAGUUAUUCCGUGAAUUUCUUUUUGGACCCGAGGCCUACUUCGGCGGGCUGAUUCAGGCAGAAGUCAUUGUCAGGUGGGAAGUUUGGCUAGGGUGGCACAUCUGUUAAAAGAUAAUGCUGGUGUCCUAAGAUGAGCUCAACGAGAAUAGAAAUCUCGUGUGGAACAAAAGGGUAAAAGCUCAUUUGAUUCUGAUUUCCGGUACGAAUACAAACCAUGAAAGCGUGGCCUAGCGAUCAUUUAGACCUUCAAAAUUUGAAGCUAGAGGUAUCAGAAAAGUUACCACAGAGAUAACUAGCCUAUGGCAGCCAAGUGUUCACAGCGACAUUGCUUUUGGAUCCUUCGAUGUCGGCUCUUCCUAUUAUUGUGAAGCAAAAUUCACCAAGUGUUGGAUUGUUUACCCACUAAUGGGGAAUGUGAGCUGGGUUUAGACUGUCAUGAGAUACGUUAGUUUUACUCUAUUAAUGACAGUGUCACAAUAGUAAUUCAACCUAGUACGAGAGGAACCAUUGAUUCGUAUAAAUGGUCAUCGCGCUUGGUUGAAAAGCCAGUGGCGCGAAGUUACCGUGUGCUGGAUUAAGCGAUAAUCUGGGCUAAAAAUGACGCAUGUGCCUGCCGCAUAUUUGCCGACCAACAGUAGGUGGCUUGUCCCCAAAGGCACAUACUGUUGGUGAAGGCCACACGACGGAUGAGCCGUGCGGGCCGCCUUGAAGUACAAUUCAUACUGAGCAGC
rnacentral:rRNA from 1 species